rnacentral:rRNA from 1 species
UACGUAGGGUGCAGGCGUUAAUCGGAAUUACUGGGCGUAAAGGGCCAGUAGGCGGCCAACUAAGUCCGACGUGAAAUCCCCAGGCUUAACCUGGGAACUGCGUCGGAUACUGGAUGGCUUGAAUUCGGGAGAGGGAUGCAGAAUUCCAGGUGUAGCGGUGAAAUGCGUAGAUAUCGUAAGGAAGACCAGUGGCGAAGGCGGGUCUCUGGACAGUUCCUGACGCUGAGGCACGAAGGUCAGGGGAGCAAACGGG